AUGGCAUACUGAAGAGUCUAAUUCAGAAAGAGAUGGAGAGGGUAGAGAGACCAGAAAGUGACAGAAAAAAGCUGACCUUCGGCCUCAGUGUAAAACAUGAAGGAAGAAAUGGUCGAGAAAAAGGUCCAAUGAGAUCUGUGCAGGAAAAUGGAAGCUUCCUGGAGGAAGUGGGCUUGAGCUGAAUCUUCCAGUAAUGGGGAACAGAAAGCUGUAGUCUCUGGGAACCAACAGAACUUCCCUGCUAGUCGUGGCUCUUGAAUUUCAAGGAUUCUAGGAUAUUAAUUGUUUUGACUCAGAGGACAGGAACUGGUAUGAUCAUGGAGAAUUCGUUUUUGAAUACGGGAGAAACAUCUUUACAGAUUCUGUGGAGUAGACACUAAGUAAAUUCUUAGACAGCUAUUUCAGCAAACUUCCUGAGAGAUCUCAUGCACCUCCAAAUCCCAUCAUCUAAACAGCCUGCCUCUGCUGGCCUAGACUCAGAAUAGCUGUAAGUAAAUUGUAUGCCACUCUUUCGGUUUGGUCCUGGCUUUUGGCAACAACGAUGUAGGUAAAUGUGUUGCAAUAACUCUGGGGAAAGGUAUCCUGACUACAUGUGAGUCAGGCAACACCUUGAGAUGCUUAAGACAGCUCUGAUGGCAGGAACUACAAGGAGACAAUUUAGCCCUGGAGCGCAAGGUAUCCCACACUCUUCGAGCUUCUCAGAAGAGCAGCUUUGCCGUAAAGGUGUUCUGGACACCUGGAGAUGUUUAGCACAGCUCUGAUGGCUGGAAUUGCAAGGGGACAGUUCAGCUCUGCAGGGUGAGGUGUCCUGGACCCCUCAAGUUGCUCACAACAGCUCUGUCCUGAUGAUGUAAGAUAAACAACUGAUUGCCGAUUAUUCUACUAUUCACAUUUCUACCAGGUACAUGAAAUUAUGGCUUUGAAUACACAAUAAAGUGUUUAAUGUUUCUUAUA